AGCGAACGCUGGCGGCAGGCCUAACACAUGCAAGUCGAACGAACCUUUCGGGGUUAGUGGCGGACGGGUGAGUAACACGUGGGAACGUGCCCUUAGGUUCGGAAUAACUCAGGGAAACUUGUGCUAAUACCGAAUGUGCCCUUCGGGGGAAAGAUUUAUCGCCUGUAGAGCGGCCCGCGUCUGAUUAGCUAGUUGGGUGAGGUAAUGGCUCACCAAGGCGACGAUCAGUAGCUGGUCUGAGAGGAUGAUCCGCCACAUUGGGAGUGAGACACGGCCCAAACUCCUACGGGAGGCAGCAGUGGGGAAUCUUGCGCAAUGGGCGAAAGCCUGACGCAGCCAUGCCGGGUGAAUGAUGAAGGUCUUAGGAUUGUAAAAUUCUUUCACCGGGGACGAUAAUGACGGUACCCGGAGAAGAAGCCCCGGCUAACUUCGUG
rnacentral:rRNA from 1 species